rnacentral:rRNA from 1 species
UACAGAGGGGGCAAGCGUUAUUCGGAAUUAUUGGGCGUAAAGAGCGCGUAGACGGUCCGAUAAGUCGGCUGUGAAAGUCCAGGGCUCAACCCUGGAAAGCCGGCCGAUACUGUCGGACUAGAGUCCGGAAGAGGCAAAUGGAAUUCCCGGUGUAGCGGUGAAAUGCGCAGAUAUCGGGAGGAACACCAAUUGCGAAGGCAGCUUGCUGGGACGGUACUGACGCUGAGGUGCGAAAGCGUGGGGAGCAAACAGG